rnacentral:ncRNA from 1 species
AGCAAAUCGAUGAUAGAGAAAGUACUCUUGUUUACUGUAAAGAGAAAGAUUCCUUGGCUGAAAGAAUCUUCAGAUCCUAACAAGUAGGAAAGCUACUCUUGAGUGCAGUCAAAACCUGCCGUAUAGCCGCGUUAAGGUUACUGAGAGACACAAUAAUUUUGUAUUGUGUAACUAGGGUGGUACCGCGAAAUUAUAGCUUUCGUCCCUUUU